rnacentral:rRNA from 1 species
AGUGAACGCUGGCGGUAGGCCUAACACAUGCAAGUCGAACGGCAGCACAGUAAGAGCUUGCUCUUACUGGUGGCGAGUGGCGGACGGGUGAGGAAUACAUCGGAAUCUACUUUUUCGUGGGGGAUAACGUAGGGAAACUUACGCUAAUACCGCAUACUACCUACGGGUGAAAGCAGGGGAUCUUCGGACCUUGCCCGAUUGAAUGAGCCGAUGUCGGAUUAGCUAGUUGGCGGGGUAAAGGCCCACCAAGGCGACGAUCCGUAGCUGGUCUGAGAGGAUGAUCAGCCACACUGGGACUGAGACACGGUCCAGACUCCUACGGGAGGCAGCAGUGGGGAAUAUUGGACAAUGGGCGCAAGCCUGAUCCAGCCAUGCCGCGUGGGUGAAGAAGGCCUUCGGGUUGUAAAGCCCUUUUGUUGGGAAAGAAAAGCAGCAGGUUAAUACCCCGCUGUUCUGACGGUACCCAAAGAAUAAGCACCGGCUAACUUCGUG